UGGCUGAGUUUGCUGCUCCCUGCAGCUGAAGCCAUGGGUUUUCUAUUAGGAUGGUGGCUGCUGUUCUUUUUAGUUGCAGGAAGACCUCAAGCAAAUGAUCAGGAUCUUCCCAUUACAGAUGAUCAACUGGAUUUAAGUAGUCUUAACUCUGGGAAUGACGGCAUAUAUAGCAAUGGGACAUUUGGAAAUCAUAUGUCACCCUUGAAUGCAAGUAACCACAACACAACAAUGGCUGUCAAUAGCCAGUAUCAUCCUGAAGCUGGAACCUUGAAGCAAAACAGAUCUGUGUCCCAAGAACCCGAAUCUGAUGUUCA